UCGCACGGCAUCACCAUAGAGCUUGCUCUCUUGGUGGCGAGUGGCGGACGGGUGAGUAAUGUAUCGGAACGUGCCCAGUAGCGGGGGAUAACUACUCGAAAGAGUGGCUAAUACCGCAUACGCCCUACGGGGGAAAGGGGGGGAUCGCAAGACCUCUCACUAUUGGAGCGGCCGAUAUCGGAUUAGCUAGUUGGUGGGGUAAAGGCCCACCAAGGCGACGAUCCGUAGCUGGUUUGAGAGGACGACCAGCCACACUGGGACUGAGACACGGCCCAGACUCCUACGGGAGGCAGCAGUGGGGAAUUUUGGACAAUGGGGGAAACCCUGAUCCAGCCAUCCCGCGUGUGUGAUGAAGGCCUUCGGGUUGUAAAGCACUUUUGGCAGAGAAGAAAUGGCAUCCCCUAAUAACUUCUGUUGCUGACGGUAUCUGCAGAAUAAGCACCGGCUAACUACGUGCCAGCAGCCGCGGUAAUACGUAGGGUGCAAGCGUUAAUCGGAAUUACUGGGCGUAAAGGGUGUGCAGGCGGCUCGGAAAGAAAGAUGUGAAAUCCCAGGGCUCAACCUUGGAACUGCAUUUUUAACUGCCUAGCUAGAGUAUGUCAGAGGGGGGUAGAAUUCCACGUGUAGCAGUGAAAUGCGUAGAUAUGUGGAGGAAUACCGAUGGCGAAGGCAGCCCCCUGGGAUAAUACUGACGCUCAGACACGAAAGCGUGGGGAGCAAACAGGAUUAGAUACCCUGGUAGUCCACGCCCUAAACGAUGUCAACUAGCUGUUGGGGCCGUUAGGCCUUAGUAGCGCAGCUAACGCGUGAAGUUGACCGCCUGGGGAGUACGGUCGCAAGAUUAAAACUCAAGGAAUUGACGGGGACCCGCACAAGC
rnacentral:rRNA from 1 species